rnacentral:rRNA from 1 species
ACGCUGGCGGCGUGCUUAACACAUGCAGGUCGAACGAUGAAGCCUAGCUUGCUAGGUGGAUUAGUGGCGAACGGGUGAGUAAUACGUGAGUAACCUACCUUUAACUCUGGGAUAAGCCUGGGAAACUGGGUCUAAUACCGGAUACGACCAAUCUCCGCAUGGGGUGUUGGUGGAAAGCGUUAUGUAGUGGUUAUAGAUGGGCUCACGGCCUAUCAGCUUGUUGGUGAGGUAACGGCUCACCAAGGCGACGACGGGUAGCCGGCCUGAGAGGGUGACCGGCCACACUGGGACUGAGACACGGCCCAGACUCCUACGGGAGGCAGCAGUGGGGAAUAUUGCACAAUGGGCGCAAGCCUGAUGCAGCGACGCCGCGUGGGGGAUGACGGCCUUCGGGUUGUAAACCUCUGUUAGCAGGGAAGAAGAGAAAUUGACGGUACCUGCAGAGAAAGCGCCGGCUAACUACGUGCCAGCAGCCGCGGUAAUACGUAGGGCGCGAGCGUUGUCCGGAAUUAUUGGGCGUAAAGAGCUUGUAGGCGGUUUGUCGCGUCUGCUGUGAAAGGCCGGGGCUUAACCCCGUGUAUUGCAGUGGGUACGGGCAGACUAGAGUGCAGUAGGGGAGACUGGAAUUCCUGGUGUAGCGGUGGAAUGCGCAGAUAUCAGGAGGAACACCGAUGGCGAAGGCAGGUCUCUGGGCUGUAACUGACGCUGAGAAGCGAAAGCAUGGGGAGCGAACAGGAUUAGAUACCCUGGUAGUCCAUGCCGUAAACGUUGGGCACUAGGUGUGGGGGACAUUCCACGUUUUCCGCGCCGUAGCUAACGCAUUAAGUGCCCCGCCUGGGGAGUACGGCCGCAAGGCUAAAACUCAAAGAAAUUGACGGGGGCCCGCACAAGCGGCGGAGCAUGCGGAUUAAUUCGAUGCAACGCGAA